AAGGCGAAGGGCGUUGCGCUUGUCCGCCAGCCUCCUCUCUCCGGCCCUCGGCGGCGGGUGCCGCGCCGCGCCGCGGCGCAGGCAGGCGCAGUCGACUCCGCGCACCCCGCGGUCCUCCGUAGCGGUUCCCGUUUGCGUCGACUCACCCCGGAGCCCUAGAAGGGGCGGGCCGCUGUGAGGAAAGGCCCCGUCCCCUUCCCCGGGCUCCUGGCUUUGCCCUCCGCCGACCCUGCAGCUGGGCCAGCAGGCCUGCCGCCACCUUCUCGAGCGCGGCUUGCCCACUGCCCGGCAUAAAUAAGAUCCUGUCUUAAAAAUAAGCUGAUGUCUAGGCAUAACUGAAUUUUGCUGCCCAGAAGGAUCCCGAAAGAUCCAGAUCUAAAGAUAGCCUGGAACUGGUUGCUCCCGAGUGAUAAGCAAUGGAGAGGCCAGUUACUCCUGCUGCCGUGCUGGAGUUGGAAAGGGUGGUGACAGCACGUAAUGUUUUUAUGAGUGACCAUCCAUUUCCUGGACUACACCAUAGCCAAGGAGGCAGCGGAGCCACAGGUUUGCCAGACCAAGCCCUGCAUUCCUAACAGAUCUUGGGAAGGAACUAUUCACUUAAAUUCUUUGGAAAUUCCACCUGAAUUCUAGCAAAACUGGAUCCAUGUUCCUGCUCUUUGUAUGCACUUGCCAAUUAUCUCAUAUAUUAGCAAAGGAAACCUUGUUCUGUUGGCAUUUUGGGUGGUGGUGAUUUAUUCUAAAGCAAGUACCAUGUUCAGUUCUGUGCUAUUUCCUGAAUUGUGCUAUUUCCUGAACUCAAGCGUGUUUCAUAUUCUGUGGUACCAUCCCCUUUUAUUACUGCUUAUAUGAGUGUUACUGGAUUAACGUACAUUUGAGGAUCUCUGUCAUGUUAGCUGUGGCACCUCAGCAUAGAAAACCACCCAUAAAACUAAAAACAAGUUUCUGCUUCCCCUUCCACCACUGAAGAAGUGUUAGUUAGUUAGUUAGUUAGUGAAGAAGUGUUAGACUAAAGAUUGCUUGGGAUUUCUUCACAGAUACUCGAAAACGUUCAUUGUAGACCAAAUUCAAAUGAAAGGCAGUGAUUUGAAGUGAAAACUGAACACUGGCUGUUGUUCAGAGGCCAUUAAACAUAAGAUUUAUUAUCAUAAGUUCAGUGCUAUUGAGCAAUGCUUUGUUCACAGUAGUUUUGAAUCAUGAUCCACUGGAUAUCUGACUACUGACUGACCAGUUAGCUAAGGGACAUCUAAAGCCUCCUGUAAAUUAGGCUGAAGUCCCAGCAAAAUCAGGCUGAAGCCUCAGUUCAAUGCUGCAAAUUAGGCUGAAGUCCUUGUUCAAUGUUGCAAGAUGACAUGCCUGACAACUGGCCAACCUAGGGAGGGGCAGCCACUUUGAGAAAGACAUUUUUAUACUUCCCACUCCUUUGUCUUUGGUUUUAUUCACUUUACAUUAGCUUCUUUUUCUUCUGUAAAUAUGUGCAUCUGAAUAUCACUAAAAUCAGCUUGGGUCAAACCUGGUGAGCUGAACCUGAACAGUUAACGUCAGGUAUUUGAUACCCUCUUGGGUGCUUCCAGCAAGAAAUUAAUUUUUCUGCCUGCAGUCUCCUGUUGAACUGCUGUCCUCCAUUAUACUGACUUUUCAGCUGCAUCUUGACAGUGUAUCUUUCCUCAGUUCUAGCUCUCAACUUGCAUCAGUGCAGAGUUGUAAGUAUGUGUGUUAUCUAGUCAAGAAGAGUGAAAACUUGUAUACCACAUGCCAAGGCUUAAGGAAGAAUAAAAUGCAUACUGUCUGGAGACUUGUUUUCCAACCUCUAAAUGCCUUUUUUUUUUUUUUCCUAUCUUGAGAAAAAAGCACAACUCAUAGAAACUUAGUGAAGUAAAUUAACACCAAUUCCAUUGCAUUUUACUGCACUUAGAUCCAGAUGCAUCAAGAUUGCUUUUAGAUGUCAUAGUUGUCAUAAGUAUUAUAAAGAAUGCUAUCAUAAAGAUUUCUGUGGGUCUAGUGCACACAAUAUGCAGUAACUCACUACUUCUCUUAGCAAUCACUAUAGUAAUAGUAACCACAUUGAAUUCCUGUACAAUUCCUAAGGACAGAAUGUUCUAAUCGUCAGUUCAGAUGAAAGAACUCAUAUAGAUAGACAUUCAAAAUGAAAGUCAUUACUACCAAAAAUGUGAUUUAUCAUGAAUUGCUAUGUAUGUAUGACUGCUUACAAAAAUUUAAAUGCAUCUCUCUGGGGUCAAGGUAAAAUAAAAUAACCAUAUGCAAUUGUUGGAAAAAUAAGCUGUUAAAAGCAUUUCUUACUGCUUUUUUCUUGAAGAUGAACCUUCUAAAUUACCAUGGAUCCAACAAAGCUAUACAAAAAUGUAUAGCUCCUUAAUGUGAUAUUCAGUGUCUUUCCUAUUGUGCUUUUUGAGUCUAUGGGAUGCAAGACAAUAUGUCAUUUUUCAACAGGAUUAAUAUAGCUUCUUUACUGUAAGUGAGGAAAUGCUCUAUUUCAUAAUGUGGUAAAAUCUGUUCAAGAGUCUUAUGUUGUAAAACUACAUCAUCACUUCUUGCUCCAGUGUCCCCACAGUUCUGCUUUAGUUUCCCUACAUUCUGUAGCAUUCAUUAACGUUGCCUAUAUAAAAAAUGGAAGCAAAACACCAGCAUUUGUAUCAAUAAAAUGUUUUCAUUGACAUUUUGUUUCAAAAAUACUUUACAAAUAUAUUCUUAUGUUUAUACCCAGAAAGUCCUGUAAGGUGAAAACAGUACAUUGUAGUCCUUGAAGGUAGGCUCCUGUAUACUUCAAAAUCACCAAUGCUUCAAAGCAGGAAAGAGGAAAAUGUUAAAUGAGAAGGAAAUGAAGACAGUCACAGGACCUUAUUUCAAACUGUAAAUGGUACAGUACUUGGUGUCAAUUUUCUCUUCGGUUUUAGCAUACAAUCUGGAAUAAAGUGAAUUCCUGAAGUAAAGAGAAAUACAAAUACCAGUCCUGGAUUAUCCAAAUCACUUCAAAGUAGCAAUCACUGUGAAAUAUUCUUUGUACUAGUUAGUGUGUAAGGAAACAAUCUUUUCUAUACAUAUUGAAGAUGCAGUUAUUAGAUACAUAAACCUUUUGCUCUGGAAUUAAAUAAAGAUAUACAAUCUGA